rnacentral:rRNA from 1 species
GACGAACGCUGGCGGCGUGCUUAACACAUGCAAGUCGAACGGUGAAGCGCCUUCCUUUUUGGUGGGUGUGGAUGAGUGGCGAACGGGUGAGUAACACGUGAGUAACCUGCCCCCUUCUUCUGGAUAACCGCAUGAAAGUGUGGCUAAUACGGGAUAUUCUGGGUCUGUCGCAUGAUGGGUCUGGGAAAGAUAUUGUUUCGGUGGGGGAUGGGCUCGCGGCCUAUCAGCUUGUUGGUGGGGUGAUGGCCUACCAAGGCGGUGACGGGUAGCCGGCCUGAGAGGGUGGACGGGCACACUGGGACGGAGACACGGCCAAGACUCCUACGGGAGGCAGCAGUGGGGAAUAGUGCACAAUGGGCGCAAGCCUGAUGCAGCGACGCCGCGUGAGGGAUGGAGGCCUUCGGGUUGUGAACCUCUUUCGCCAGUGAAGCAGGCCUGCCUCGUUUGUGGGUGGGUUGACGGUAGCUGGAUAAGAAGCGCCGGCUAACUACGUG